GCGGGGGAGCACUACAACCGGAGGAGCCUGCGGUUUAAUUGGACUCAACGCCGGACAUCUCACCAGCCCCGACAUCAGUAAUGACAGUCAUGUUGACGACAUCCGCCCGAGCUGAUGAGAGGAGGUGCAUGGCCGCCGUCAGCUCGUACCGUGAGGCAUCCUGUUAAGUCAGGCAACGAGCGAGAUCCACAUCCCUAAUUGCCAGCACCAUCGCACGAUGGGUGGGUACAUUAGGGAGACUGCCAGUGCUAAACUGGAGGAAGGAAUGGGCAACGGUAGGUCAGUAUGCCCCGAAUGGGCUGGGCAACACGCGGGCUACAAUGGCCGAGACAAUGGGAUGCAACCCCGAAAGGGGGCGCCAAUCUCCUAAACUCGGUCGUAGUUCGGAUUGAGGGCUGAAACUCGCCCUCAUGAAGCUGGAUUCGGUAGUAGUCGCGUGUCAGAAGCGCGCGGCGAAUACGUCCCUGCUCCUUGCACACACCGCCCGUCAAAGCACCCGAGUGGGGUUCGGACGAGGCCGGCAUGCGCCGGUCGAAUCUGGGCUCUGCAAGGGGGCUUAAGUCGAAACAAGGUAGCCGU
rnacentral:rRNA from 1 species